rnacentral:rRNA from 1 species
CCUACGGGAGGCAGCAGUGGGGAAUAUUGGGCAAUGGGCGCAAGCCUGACCCAGCAAUGCCGCGUGAAGGAAGAAGGCUUUCGGGUUGUAAACUUCUUUGACAGGGGAAGAGCAGAAGACGGUACCCUGAAAACAAGCCACGGCUAACUACGUGCCAGCAGCCGCGGUAAUACGUAGGUGGCAAGCGGUGUCCGGAUUUACUGGGUGUAAAGGGCGUGUAGCCGGGAAUGCAAGGCAGAUGUGAAAUCUGGAGGCUCAACCUCCAAAUUGCAUUUGAAACUGUUGUUCUUGAGUACUGGAGAGGCAGACGGAAUGCCUUGUGUAGCGGUGAAAUGCGUAGAUAUAAGGAGGAACACCAGUGGCGAAGGCGGUCUGCUGGACAGCAACUGACGGUGAGGCGCGAAAGCGUGGGGAGCAAACAGGAUUAGAUACCCUAGUAGUC